rnacentral:rRNA from 1 species
AAUGAACGCUGGCGGCAGGCCUAACACAUGCAAGUCGAACGAGGUAGCAAUACCUAGUGGCGGACGGGUGAGUAACACGUGGGAACGUACCCUUUGCUACGGAAUAGCCCUGGGAAACUGGGAGUAAUACCGUAUGAGCCCGAGAGGGGAAAGAUUUAUCGGCAAAGGAUCGGCCCGCGUUGGAUUAGGUAGUUGGUGGGGUAAUGGCCUACCAAGCCGACGAUCCAUAGCUGGUUUGAGAGGAUGAUCAGCCACACUGGGACUGAGACACGGCCCAGACUCCUACGGGAGGCAGCAGUGGGGAAUCUUAGACAAUGGGGGAAACCCUGAUCUAGCCAUGCCGCGUGAUCGAUGAAGGCCUUAGGGUUGUAAAGAUCUUUCAGGUGGGAAGAUAAUGACUGUACCACCAGAAGAAGCCCCGGCUAACUCCGU